rnacentral:rRNA from 1 species
AGAUACCCGUGUAGUCCCAGCCCUAAACGAUGCGCGUUAGGUGUAUCGGUGACCACGAGUCACCGAGGUGCCGAAGGGAAACCGUGAAACGUGCCGCCUGGGAAGUACGGUCGCAAGGCUGAAACUUAAAGGAAUUGGCGGGGGAGCACCACAAGAGGUGGAGGCUGCGGUUCAAUUGGACUCAACGCCGGAAAACUCAUCGGGAGCGACAGCAGUAUGAUUGCCAGGUUGAUGACCUUGCAUGACCAGCUG